GAUGUUGGCUUAGACGCAGCCACCAUUUAACGAGUGCGUAAUAGCUCACUAGUCGAGGGACCCUGCGCCGAAAAUGUACCGGGGCUAAACAUAUUACCGAAGCUGUGGAGUACACCUUUAGGUGUAUUGGGAGGAGAGCGUUCUAAGGGCGUUGAAGGCUGCUCGUGAGGACUGCGGGAGCGCUUAGAAGUGAGCCUGCGGGUAUGAGUAGCGCUAGACAGGUGAGCAUCCG
rnacentral:rRNA from 1 species